GGGGGUGUUUUGGUUUUGACAGCGCUGAUGCUGGACGGUAAGCAUGUCGGGCCUCGGAACCUGUCCCGUAAAACGCAGAUUCCAAAAAAUCAGUUGCCAACAACAACUAUGCACUCGCUGCCUAAUUCGGCCAAGUCCAAUUAGCUCCGCCUCUUAAGGGCCCCUCAAGGGGUAUCAUUCAUUUGAGGCUGCUCCGGCCUACGCCUUUAAAGCCGGCUAAGACCUAAAGGCUAAGGGACGCUUCGCCCGCCUUCCGGCAGGGUUUCCUCGAAAACCAAAGGCAGGAUAAGCAUGUAGAAAGCCGCCUGGUGCGACGUUUGGACAGCGGUUCGAGUCCGCUCACCUCCAC
rnacentral:tmRNA from 1 species